rnacentral:rRNA from 1 species
AACGAACGCUGGCGGCAGGCUUAACACAUGCAAGUCGAGCGCCCCGCAAGGGGAGCGGCAGACGGGUGAGUAACGCGUGGGAAUCUACCCAUCUCUACGGAAUAACGCAUGGAAACGUCUGCUAAUACCGUAUACGUCCUUCGGGAGAGAGAUUUAUCGGAGAUGGAUGAGCCCGCGUUGGAUUAGCUAGUUGGUGGGGUAAAGGCCUACCAAGGCGACGAUCCAUAGCUGGUCUGAGAGGAUGAUCAGCCACACUGGGACUGAGACACGGCCCAGACUCCUACGGGAGGCAGCAGUGGGGAAUAUUGGACAAUGGGCGCAAGCCUGAUCCAGCCAUGCCGCGUGAGUGAUGAAGGCCCUAGGGUUGUAAAGCUCUUUCACCGGUGAAGAUAAUGACGGUAACCGGAGAAGAAGCCCCGGCUAACUUCGUGCCAGCAGCCGCCGUAACAC